UACGGGGGGGGUAAGCGUUGUUCGGAAUUACUGGGCGUAAAGGGCUCGUAGGCGGCCAACUAAGUCAGACGUGAAAUCCCUCAGCUUAACUGGGGAACUGCGUCCGAUACUGGAUGGCUUGGAUUUGGGAGAGGGAUGCGGAAUUCCAGGUGUAGCGGUGAAAUGCGUAGAUAUCUGGAGGAACACCGGUGGCGAAGGCGACGUCCUGGACCGGCAUUGACGCUGAGGCGCGAAAGCCAGGGGAGCAAACGGG
rnacentral:rRNA from 1 species